CCUACGGGUGGCAGCAGUGGGGAAUAUUGCACAAUGGGGGAAACCCUGAUGCAGCGACGCCGCGUGAGGGAAGAAGUAUUUCGGUACGUAAAGCUCUAUCAGCAGGGAAGAAAAUGACGGUACGUGACUAAGAAGCCACGGCUAACCACGUGCCAGCAGCCGCGGUAAUACGUAGGGGGCCAGCGUUAUCCGGGUUUACUGGGUGUAAAGGGAGCGUAGACGGGAGCGCAAGUCUGUAGUGAACGCCCAUGGCUUAACCAUGGAACUGCUUUUGAAAAUGUGCAGCUGGAGUGCAGGUGAGGUAGGCGGAAUUCCUAGUGUAGCGGUGAAAUGCGUAGAUAUUAGGAAGAACACCAAUGGCGAAGGCGGCUUACUAGACUGUAACUGACGUUGAGGCUCGAAAGCGUGGGGAGCAAACAGGAUUAGAUACCCGGGUAGUC
rnacentral:rRNA from 1 species